CCUACGGGAGGCAGCAGUGGGGAAUGUUGGACAAUGGGCGCAAGCCUGAUCCAGCCAUGCCGCGUGUGGGAAGACGGCCUUCGGGUUGUAAACCACUUUUGGAGAGAACGAAAAGUCUAUUGAUAAUACCGAGAGAUGAUGACGGUACAAGAAGAAGAAGCACAGGCUAACUCCGGGCCAGCAGCCGAGGUAAGACGUAGGGUGCGAGCGUUAAUCGGAAUUACUGGGCGUAAAGGGUGUGCAGGCGGUUUUGCAAGAUGGAUGUGAAAGCCCCGGGCGUAACCUGGGAACGCCAUACCUGACUGCAAGACUAGCGUGCGUCAGAGGGGGGUGGAAUUCCAAGUGUAGCCGUGAAAUGCGUAGCUAUUUGG
rnacentral:rRNA from 1 species